rnacentral:rRNA from 1 species
UGAUCUGGUAACAAUGACGUGAAGGUAACACUCCUUCCCAUUCCGAACAGGCAGGUUAAGCUUCAUUGUGCCGAUAGUACUGCAG